rnacentral:lncRNA from 1 species
UUUAUGUAUAUAUGUAUACAUGUAUAUAAAUAUUACAAACAAUGUCUUACUAUAAAGAUGAUUUAAUAUAAACUACAGAUAUUAUAGUACAUAAAUGAUCGACGAUAAAUCGAUAAUAUAAAUAUAAGUUUUACUGUGAGCGAAAGAUGUGCGAGUGAGAGUGAAGAUUGAUGAUCCGAAGAGUUUGAAUAUGAGCGAGCAGUAACACAGACAGAUGAACAAGUGUGAGGAUCGGUGAACCAAGUGAAUCAGAGAACUGUGGAUUCCCAGUGGGAGAAUGAUCUUUAACCAAAGUGCAAUGUCUGAACCAGUAGCUAGUCUGUACGUUGGCUUGGUGGUUGUAUUUAUAGACUACCGGUCAACAGUCCGGAAUAUGGACAGACAAAAAGGUUUGAAUAAGACAAUAAGAAUGGGUAGCCACUGGGAAUAAUUCUGGGGUUUAAUAAUAUUUAUGAUAUUUAAUAAACCCUUAAUAGUUAAUAAGAUAUAUUGAAGAUUUAUUUUACUAUCUUUAAAACCAAUUGCACAAUAGUAAAACUGAGAAGAAUUAAAAAUCCUGUGAUAGAAAAUAGGACCAGUAGGUUUGUGAAGUAGUCCUUUCUUAAUUUGGCCCUCCGUUGUCUGUGGGGUUUAUAGUAGAACUUGUUGAUAGCUUUGAAUUGCUGACAAAGAAAAUCUAUUUGCUUCUCAGGUAACACUAACCAUGACCUGCGUUUGCUGAAAAAUUCAGCUAUUUCCUUAUUUCCAUGGGUGGUGGUGGUUAUUUCCAACAUCCCAUGGCGUGCGAG